AGCGAACGCUGGCGGCAGGCCUAACACAUGCAAGUCGAACGAACCUUUCGGGGUUAGUGGCGGACGGGUGAGUAACACGUGGGAACGUGCCUUUAGGUUCGGAAUAACUCAGGGAAACUUGUGCUAAUACCGAAUGUGCCCUUCGGGGAAAGGAUUUUCGGCUUUAAGGGCGGCCCGGGUCUGUUUAGCUGGUUGGUUGUGGUAUUGCCUCACCAAGGCGACGAUCAGUAGCUGGUCUGAGAGGAUGAUCAGCCACAUUGGGACUGAGACACGGCCCAAACUCCUACGGGAGGCAGCAGUGGGGAAUCUUGCGCAAUGGGCGAAAGCCUGACGCAGCCAUGCCGCGUGAAUGAUGAAGGUCUUAGGAUUGUAAAAUUCUUUCACCGGGGACGAUAAUGACGGUACCCGGAGAAGAAGCCCCGGCUAACUUCGUG
rnacentral:rRNA from 1 species